CCUACGGGAGGCAGCAGUGGGGAAUAUUGCACAAUGGGGGAAACCCUGAUGCAGCGACGCCGCGUGAGUGAAGAAGGAUUUAGGUAUGUAAAGCUCUAUCAGCAGGGAAGAAAAUGACGGUACCUGAUUAAGAAGCCCCGGCUAACUACGUGCCAGAAGCCGCGGUAAUACGUAGGGGGCAAGCGUUAUCCGGAUUUACUGGGUGUAAAGGGAGCGUAGACGGCAGCACAAGUCUGGAGUGAAAUGCCGGGGCUUAACCCCGGAACUGCUUUGGAAACUGUGCAGCUUGAGUGCAGGAGAGGUAAGUGGAAUUCCUAGUGUAGCGGUGAAAUGCGUAGAUAUUAGGAGGAACACCAGUGGCGAAGGCGGCUUACUGGAGUGUAACUGACGUUGAUGCUCGAAAGCGUGGGGAGCAAACAGGAUUAGAUACCCGUGUAGUC
rnacentral:rRNA from 1 species